GAAGGUCUGGAGUCUUAGCCCUAGGAAAAAUAUUCAGAGUGAUAGAGGUGGUUCUCAACUUACGACCACAAUUGAGCCCAAACUUUCUGUUGUUAAGUGAGACAUUUGUUAAGUCUGACGAGGCACAGAAACAUGGUGAGCAGCAGGGAGGCAUGGAGUCACAUCUUCAUUUCCAGGGGUUUCGAUAGGUGUUCGUGCCGCUGUAAGGAGCCCCAGGAACCAAGAUGUGAUGUCCAUUCAUGAUCUGUGGAGGUAUGUGUUCUGAAGCCCCCAAGAAGGCAGCUACACUAAAGCCCUCUCUCCCCGGGAGGCCAGACGCCUGCACUGUCAGAUAGGAGGCUGCAUGGCUGUCUCACCCGGCAGGCCCCUCACUCGCCUGCCCUCCCCACAGGCCCCUCACUCACUUGCCCAGCAGGCCACUUGCCCACCCAGCUGGCCAGCUGUUGGGAGGUUGCUCGCCUGGCUGGGAGGCCAGGUGGACAAAUCAGAAGAGGAGUCUGAAGUGCAAUCCAGCAGUGACAGCAACGCCCCAGAUAACAUGUAAGUGACCCUGGGCUCUGAGCUUGGUACAUUCAAGCGAAAUCCAUAGGGUUAGGGUUAAAUCAUGUCUGUGUAAAUCUACAUUCCUAAACCUUCAUCAUGAUAACGUGCAAUGAGAAUUUUUGAGCUGCAGCCAGAGCAAUUUCUCCACCUGGGAGUUUAAAGGCUUUGCAGAAUUCGGUGAUCCCAGUUCAGCCCAGAUCCCAGUUCAGUCAAACUUUGAAGCACCAGGAGAAAGUUGCCACCAGAAAGCAUCCUGCUUUCUUCUGCCUGCUCCAAGUGGCCUUACUUAGAAUAGAAUAGAGCUGGAAGGGAUCUUGGAGGUCUUCUAGUCCAGUCCCCUGAUAAAGCAGGAGAACCUAUACCAUCUCAGUCAAAUGUCUGUCUAGUCUCUUCUUAAAAACCUCCAGUGAUGGAACAUCCACAAUUCCUGGAGGCAAGCUGCCCACUGGUUAAUUGUCCUCACUGUUAGGAACUUUGAUUAGUUUCCAACCAUUAUUUCUUGUCCUGCCCUCUGGUGCUUUGGAGAAUAAUUUGAGCCUUUCUUCUUUGUAGCAAUCUCUCCAAUAUGGAAAUACUCAGGGGUGGGAUUCAGCUGGUUCGGACCAGUUCAGGCUAAC